CAAAGAUUAAGCCAUGCAUGUCUAAGUAUAAACAAAUUUAUACAGUGAAACUGCGAAUGGCUCAUUAAAUCAGUUAUAAUUUAUUUGAUAUUCACUUACUACUUGGAUAACCGUGGUAAUUCUAGAGCUAAUACAUGCGUACAUAACCUCGACUUCUGGAAGAGGUGCACUUAUUAGAUAAAAAGCCAACGCGGGCAACCGCUUGUAUGGUGAUUCAUAAUAAUUAAUCGAAUCGCAUGGCCUUGUGCCGGCGAUGAUGCAUUCAAAUUUCUGCCCUAUCAAGUUUCGAUGGUAGGUUAGUGGCCUACCAUGCUUUUAACGGGUAACGGGGAAUUAGGGUUCGAUUCCGGAGAGGGAGCCUGAGAAACGGCUACCACAUCCAAGGAAGGCAGCAGGCGCGCAAAUUACCCAAUCCCGACACGGGGAGGUAGUGACAAUAAAUAACAAUACAGGGCCUUUACGGGUCUUGUAAUUGGAAUGAGUACAAUUUAAAUCCCUUAACGAGGAACAAUUGGAGGGCAAGUCUGGUGCCAGCAGCCGCGGUAAUUCCAGCUCCAAUAGCGUAUAUUAAAGUUGUUGCAGUUAAAAAGCUCGUAGUUGAAUUUUGGCCUUCGCCUGUGGGGUUCGGUCUUCAUUGAUCGGUACCUCAACGGGCGGGGCUCCACCUUCUGGGUUAGCCAGUCGUCAUUUCGGUGGCGGCUGGUGAACCAGAACUUUUACUUUGAAAAAAUUGGAGUGUUUAAAGCAGGCUUUCAAGCCUGAACAUAUUAGCAUGGAAUAAUGAAAUAGGACUUUGGCCUUAUUUCGUUGGUUUCUAAAGCCAAAGUAAUGAUGAAUAGGGAUAGUUGGGGACAUUAGUAUUCAAUUGUCAGAGGUGAAAUUCUUGGAUUUAUUGAAGACUAACUUCUGCGAAAGCAUUUGUCAAGGAUGUUUUCAUUAAUCAAGAACGAAAGUUAGGGGAUCGAAGACGAUCAGAUACCGUCGUAGUCUUAACCAUAAACUAUGCCGACUAAGGAUCGGAUGGUGUUAUAUUUUAUAUUGACCCAUUCGGCAUUUCAGCGAAAGCCAAGUUUUUGGGUUCCGGGGGGAGUAUGGUCGCAAGGCUGAAACUUAAAGG
rnacentral:rRNA from 1 species